GACCUGUUAAGGUACAGAUCCACCAUCUUCUCAGAUUGCUGGCCACCUGAAUAAAGUGGCCAUAAAGAUUAAAAACAAAAUCAGAAUUUGAUCAGAGUUUGGACUGUGAUGACAAUUAUUCCCCUAGACAUGAAAGUCUAGCUUCUGGAAAAGUUUCACUCCUUUGAAUGAGUGCAUUCAGCUGUGGAGUCUAACGAAUGUCCCAUUCUCCAUUUUCCAGAAGUCUGUUACCAGCAUAGGCAUUGCCCUCUGUAUGCCAAAAGAUCAGAUUUGCCUCUGUUUACAUGCAUAUUUACCACAUUGACAAAUAAUUGUUCUUAAUUAAAC